UACGUAGGGUGCGAGCGUUAAUCGGAAUUACUGGGCGUAAAGCGUGCGCAGGCGGUUUCGUAAGACAGAUGUGAAAUCCCCGGGCUUAACCUGGGAACUGCGUUUGUGACUGCGAGACUUGAGUGCGGCAGAGGGGGGUGGAAUUCCACGUGUAGCAGUGAAAUGCGUAGAGAUGUGGAGGAACACCGAUGGCGAAGGCAGCCCCCUGGGUCGACACUGACGCUCAUGCACGAAAGCGUGGGGAGCAAACAGGAUUAGAUACCCCGUGUAGUCC
rnacentral:rRNA from 1 species